rnacentral:rRNA from 1 species
UACGGAGGGUGCGAGCGUUGUUCGGAAUCACUGGGCGUAAAGCGCGUGUAGGCGGCCCACUAAGUCUGAUGUGAAAGCCCGGGGCUCACCCCCGGAAGUGCAUUGGAAACUGGUGGACUCGAGUCCCGGAGAGGGAUGCAGAAUUCCAGGUGUAGCGGUGAAAUGCGUAGAUAUCUGGAGGAAUACCGGUGGCGAAGGCGGCAUCCUGGACCGGCAUUGACGCUGAGGAGCGAAAGCCAGGGGAGCAAACGGG